rnacentral:rRNA from 1 species
ACGAACGCUGGCGGCGUGCUUAACACAUGCAAGUCGAACGAUGAUCCUGGAGCUUGCUCUGGGGGAUUAGUGGCGAACGGGUGAGUAACACGUGAGUAACCUGCCCUUGACUCUGGGAUAACCUCCGGAAACGGAAGCUAAUACCGGAUAUGACGCACGGAGGCAUCUCCUGUGCGUGGAAAGAAUUUCGGUCAAGGAUGGACUCGCGGCCUAUCAGGUAGUUGGUGAGGUAAUGGCUCACCAAGCCUACGACGGGUAGCCG